GCUGCCUGGGUCGGCUGGGCCUGUGGGCCUGCGUCCGACAGCGCGCGGCCGUGCUUUCUAAGCGGGCUCGGCAGCACCAGACUUCACCGGCCCGGCGCGGGGCUCACAAGUGCUCGCACUCCCUGCGGCCGGCGCGCUGACCGGAGCCUCUGGGUCUCGCACGCAGCAGCUGCAGACGCUGCCCGGCGCGGUGGGGCUGUGAGCAAAACGGCCCGCCGGUGUGGUUGCCCAGACUGUGCUGGGCCCUCCUAGGUGGAUGGCCCUGCCCCAGCCUAACUUCUGUACCCCAGCAUAACCUCCAAAGUAACAGCCGUGCCCUGGGAGCCUGUUCAACACUGAACAUAUCCCACAAUAACACUGUUCCAGCGUCGCUGGUAAAAAGCAGAAAUGGCUUCGCUGGAGGCAUCGACAAAUCUAAUGCAGUAACCUCAUUUUACAGAAGAGAACUCUAAGAGGAUAACUAACUUGGCCAAGAUCACAUGAUGUUUCUGGAUGAGAUUAGCAUUCAAAUUCGUGGACUCAUUAAAGUAGAUGGCUCUCUCCAAUAUGGGUGGGCAUCAUCCAAUCUGUUGAAGGCGUGAAGAGAACAAGAGAAGGAGGAAGGAAGAAUUCACCUUUUUUCUUGCUGCCCACCUGCUUGGGCUGGGACAUUGCAUCUCACCUUCUCCAGCCUUUGGAUGAGGAUUUACACCCUGGUUCUCAGGCCUUCAGGCUCUAACUGGAGCUACACUAUCAACUUUCCUGGGCCUCCAGAUUGCAGAUGGUGGAUCACGGUACUUUUUAGCCUCCAUCAUAAUAUGAGAAAAAAGAGGCACAGUGAAGCUAAAUAUAUUGGCUAAAGAUCACAAAGCUAUUACUAUUGGUGAGGAAUUUUGGAGUAAUUUGAUUGGGUGUUCUGGCUCAAGGGUCUCUUAUGAGUUUGCAGUCAGAUGUCAGCUGUGGCUACAUCAUCUGGACACAUGACUGAGGGUGGAACAUUCAAUUUCAAGAGUUGAAAUUUUUCAAGAUGAAAAGUUGCUAAAGAAAGAGAAAGGGAAGCGGUUUGCUCCAGUAUUCCUCUUUCCACCUUCCCACUGACUGGGAAGCGGCGGUUAGCAGAGCCACAGUCUUGGAUUAGAGAUAAGAGGGACAUGUUGAGGAAGGUGGAGUCUCCCCCACAGCCCUGGACCAGGCUCCAGUGCCAACAAAAGCCAAGAAGAACCUCUGGAGCAAUCAGUCUCUCUGCUGAGGGAGUGCAUUUUGCUUCCAGCACAGUGCUCAACUCACACAGUUCCCAUGGAAACCCAGGGGCUACAGAGGUGUCUAGACCCUGUUUGGCACUCUAACCAGAAGUAUUCCCAGAGACUACAAGCACACUGCACACCUUGGCUCAGUUUCAAACUGGAGACAGGCAGAGAAAGAAAGAUCUUCCUCCCCUACUUUCCCGGGGAGGUCUUGAGGAGACUUCCUUUUUGUUAGUUGUUUCCAAAUUGUCCCUAUCUGAGUGGUUCUCAAACAGUGGGUCUUCGCGUGGUCAUGAAGGGCCUGCAAGAAGAUAAGGGCACCAAGCGUGGCCUGUGGCUGAGAUAAAUGAAGCAUCUCUCAUAUAUGUGUUAUGAUUUUUCAAGUAAAUGAGGUUGCUAUUGGGCUUAAUUAAAAUAAAAACUAAUUUAAGAG
rnacentral:lncRNA from 1 species